CCUACGGGGCGCACCAGUGGGGAAUAUUGGACAAUGGGGGAAACCCUGAUCCAGCGACGCCGCGUGAAGGAAGAAUGCCCUCGGGUUGUAAACUUCAGUAGGCAGGGACGAAGUAAGUGACGGUACCUGCAGAGUAAGCCACGGCUAACUACGUGCCAGCAGCCGCGGUAAUACGUAGGUGGCGAGCGUUAUCCGGAAUUACUGGGUGUAAAGGGUGAGUAGGCGGGUCAACAAGUCAGGAGUGAAAUGUACGGGCUCAACCCGUACCGUGCUAAUGAAACUGUAGAUCUUGAGUGCGGAAGAGGUAAAUGGAAUUCCCGGUGUAGCGGUGAAAUGCGUAGAUAUCGGGAGGAACAUCAGUGGCGAAUGCGAUUUACUGGGCCGCAACUGACGCUGAUACACGAAAGCGCGGGGAGCAAACAGGAUUAGAUACCCUUGUA
rnacentral:rRNA from 1 species